rnacentral:rRNA from 1 species
AGUGAACGCUGGCGGUAGGCCUAACACAUGCAAGUCGAACGGCAGCACAGUAAUAGCUUGCUCUUACGGGUGGCGAGUGGCGGACGGGUGCGGAAUACCUCGGAAUCUACUUUUUCGUGGGGGAUAACGUAGGGAAACUUACGCUAAUACCGCAUACGACCUACGGGUGAAAGCAGGGAAUCUUCGGACCUUGCGCGAUUGAAUGAGCCGAUGUCGGAUUAGCUAGUUGGCGGGGUAAAGGCCCACCAAGGCGACGAUCCGUAGCUGGUCUGAGAGGAUGAUCAGCCACACUGGAACUGAGACACGGUCCAGACUCCUACGGGAGGCAGCAGUGGGGAAUAUUGGACAAUGGGCGCAAGCCUGAUCCAGCCAUACCGCGUGGGUGAAGAAGGCCUUCGGGUUGUAAAGCCCUUUUGUUGGGAAAGAAAAGCAGCAGGUUAAUACCCCGCUGUUCUGACGGUACCAAAAGAAUAAGCACCGGCUAACUUCGUG